UUAAACAUAAUAUAAAUUAACUAAAAUUAUAAUAAGUUGCAAACUUAAAAAUGGAAAUUAUUUUCCUGUUUAAU
rnacentral:tRNA from 1 species